AACGCGAAGAACCUUACCUACACUUGACAUCCCUUGCAUUACUCUUAAUCGAGGAAAUCCCUUCGGGGACAAGGUGACAGGUGGUGCAUGGUUGUCGUCAGCUCGUGUCGUGAGAUGUUGGGUUAAGUCCCGCAACGAGCGCAACCCUUGUCGUUAGUUACUACCAUUAAGUUGAGGACUCUAGCGAGACUGCCUGGGUUAACCAGGAGGAAGGUGGGGAUGACGUCAAAUCAUCAUGCCCCUUAUGUGUAGGGCUACACACGUGCUACAAUGGCUGGUACAGAGAGAUGCAAUACCGCGAGGUGGAGCCAAACUUAAAAACCAGUCUCAGUUCGGAUUGUAGGCUGAAACUCGCCUACAUGAAGC
rnacentral:rRNA from 1 species